GAAUCAGCCGGUACUCGCGAAUGCUCUAGAGUUAGUUUGAUCAUGGCUCAGAGUCACGCUGGUAGUAGGCCUAACGCAUGCAAGUCGAACGGCAGCACAGGAGAGCUUGCUCUCUGGGUGGCGAGUGGCGGACGGGUGAGGAAUACAUCGGAAUCUACUACUGUCGUGGGGGAUAACGUAGGGAAACUUACGCUAAUACCGCAUACGACCUACGGGUGAAAGCAGGGGAUCUUCGGACCUUGCGCGAUUGAAUGAGCCGAUGUCGGAUUAGCUAGUUGGCGGGGUAAAGGCCCACCAAGGCGACGAUCCGUAGCUGGUCUAGAGAGGAUGAUCAGCCACACUGGAACUGAGACACGGUCCAGACUCCUACGGGAGGCAGCAGUGGGGAAUAUUGGACAAUGGGCGCAAGCCUGAUACCAGCCAUACCGCGUGGGUGAAGAAGGCCUUCGGGUUGUAAAGCCCUUUUGUNGGGACAGAAACUCCAGGCUGGCUAAAUACCUGGUUUGGGAUGACGGUACCCAAAAGAAUAAGNNCACCAGGCUUAACUUACGUGCCAGCAGCCGCGGGUAAUACGAAGGGGUGCCAAGGCGUNAAACUCCGGGAANUUACUUGGGGCCGGUAAAAAGCCGUUGCGUAAGGAUAGGGCCAGAUAAAAGGUACCGGAUNGGUUGGGAAAAAAGGCCCCAUGGGGGAGGCCAACAAAACCUGGGGCAAACUNGNGCACCGUGGGGAAAACCUGGGGCGGAACAUCAAAAGAANAUUGUUAGGACAAACGGGGUAACGGGACAUAACCUAAGGGAUGGUUAACCACGUNAAAAAAGNCGGAUAAAAAGCAANCACAGGAGGAGGGAACCAUACACUGGGCACAAAGAGAGCGGGUCACCAUGGAGACNCCCAAACGAUAGAAACCNAGAGGGGCACAA
rnacentral:rRNA from 1 species